CCCAUUUCCUGACCAUCCUCUGCUCUGAGAGGUUCUCUUCUGUCUCUUUGUCUUUCUGACCCCGUCCCUCCCAGGGCUUUGUUUUCACUCAGGACAACAGCCUGCUACAUCCUGGCCCCGCGGCAUGGACUCCCGGCAGCCCUGAGCCCCAGCACACAGGUUGAGGGCUGGCGGUUCAGAGAGCACAGCCAGCUGCACGGGUGGCCUGCCCUCCUCCCAGCCCCUUAUCAUCAGCAUCCGAGGAUUGGAAGGGCUCUUGGCGAUCACAUGAUGUGAAAUCUACCCAUCCCCGUUUUUUAGAAGAGAAAACGGAGGCCAGAGAGAUCGGGGGCAUCAGAGGGAGCAAGGUGGAGGCCAACAAAACAAACAGACCUUUCAAUAUUGACUCUCCCGGGCUCCACAGAAGGCUAUCAUCUGUCCUGCCUCCCAGAGCCUCGCCAGCAAAGGCGAAACCAAACAAGAUGGUCAGAGCGUGAGAGGGCUGGGCACGCUGCCCAUGAAGCAGACUCCAGAAGCGAUGGCCCUGGGUUUCCACACUGUCCACCUUUCUCCUGCUGGAUCAGCUGGCCUUGGUGGGAAGGAGACAUUUUCUCUAAGAUCUCAGGGCCCAAUUCAGGUUGCAUGAUCAUCACUGGGCUUGAAAAAGAAAAGAAGGUAGGGAAAUAAAGGCUCCUUGGGGAUGCCUCUGAAAGCCACAGGCUUCCUCUAGAGAAUUCACAAACCUAGAGUCCUUUAGAGCGGGACAAGUAAGAUUUCACUUCCUUGUGAGCCAUGACUUUUUACUCUCUCCAGCAGCAAGAGUGGACUUCAUCACUCAGAUGGUGUCAUGGUUAAAGAACCAGAAGAGAGCUAAAAGCAGUGCCAACCCCAUGAUCGUAGACGAUGUAACUAUGGUCCAGGAUGACUUGAUCAAAGCUGUGGGGACGGGAUUCCUCCUGGGCUCCACUGUAGGACUGCAUCCGGUCCCCAGGUCUUGAAAGUGGCCUCUCAGGGACUUCCCCCGUGGUCCAGUGGCUGAGACGCCACACUCCCAAGGCAGGGGGCCUGGCUUCGAUCCCUGGUCAGGGACGUAUUAACAGAUUCCGCAAACUGCGACUAGAGAGCCCACGUGGUUCUGUGGAGACCCUGCAUGCCAAAACCAAGACCAGGCGCAGCCAAAUAGAUGAAGAAACGCUGUCUUUCCGUGGUGUACAUGUACUGCAACUUAGAUAUAGUGUAUUAACAUGGAUAAAUGGAAUCCAGAAAGAUGGUACUGAUGGACAUAUUCACAGGGCAGCGGACAUAGAGAACAGUCUUGUCGGAAGGAGAGGGUGGAACAAACGGAGAGCUUAGCGUGGAAACACACACACUACCGCGUGUAAAAUAGACAGCCAGGGGAAUGUGCUGUAUGAUGCAGGGGGCGCAACCUCAUGCUCUGUGACAACCCA